UACGAAGGGGGCGAGCGUUGUUCGGAUUUACUGGGCGUAAAGGGCGCGUAGGCGGCGCCGGAAGUCAAGUGUGAAAGCCCCGGGCUCAACCUGGGAGGUGCGCUCGAGACUCUGGUGCUUGAGUUCGGGAGAGGAGCGUGGAAUUCCCAGUGUAGAGGUGAAAUUCGUAGAUAUUGGGAAGAACACCAGUGGCGAAGGCGGCGCUCUGGACCGAGACUGACGCUGAGGCGCGAAAGCGUGGGGAGCAAACAGG
rnacentral:rRNA from 1 species